UGAUUAUGACGUACUUGUACUGAUUGAGAUUUUAACACGAAGUGAGUGGCGAACGGGUGAGUAACACGUGGGUAACCUGCCCAGAAGUAGGGGAUAACACCUGGAAACAGAUGCUAAUACCGUAUAACAGAGAAAACCGCAUGGUUUUCUUUUAAAAGAUGGCUCUGCUAUCACUUCUGGAUGGACCCGCGGCGUAUUAGCUAGUUGGUGAGGUAAAGGCUCACCAAGGCAGUGAUACGUAGCCGACCUGAGAGGGUAAUCGGCCACAUUGGGACUGAGACACGGCCCAGACUCCUACGGGAGGCAGCAGUAGGGAAUCUUCCACAAUGGACGCAAGUCUGAUGGAGCAACGCCGCGUGAGUGAAGAAGGGUUUCGGCUCGUAAAGCUCUGUUGUUAAAGAAGAACGUGGGUAAGAGUAACUGUUUACCCAGUGACGGUAUUUAACCAGAAAGCCACGGCUAACUACGUGCCAGCAGCCGCGGUAAUACGUAGGUGGCAAGCGUUAUCCGGAUUUAUUGGGCGUAAAGCGAGCGCAGGCGGUCUUUUAAGUCUAAUGUGAAAGCCUUCGGCUCAACCGAAGAAGUGCAUUGGAAACUGGGAGACUUGAGUGCAGAAGAGGACAGUGGAACUCCAUGUGUAGCGGUGAAAUGCGUAGAUAUAUGGAAGAACACCAGUGGCGAAGGCGGCUGUCUGGUCUGCAACUGACGCUGAGGCUCGAAAGCAUGGGUAGCGAACAGGAUUAGAUACCCUGGUAGUCCAUGCCGUAAACGAUGAUUACUAAGUGUUGGAGGGUUUCCGCCCUUCAGUGCUGCAGCUAACGCAUUAAGUAAUCCGCCUGGAGAGUACGACCGCAGGUUGAAACUCAANAGAAUUGACGGAGGCCCGCACAAGCGGUGGAUCAUGUGGUUUAU
rnacentral:rRNA from 1 species